UACGGAGGGUGCGAGCGUUGUCCGGAAUCACUGGGCGUAAAGGGCGCGUAGGCGGCUUCUCAAGCGUGUGGUGAAAGUCCGGGGCUCAACCCCGGAUCGGCCGUGCGGACUGGGGAGCUCGAGUUCUGUAGAGGCGGGUGGAAUUCCGGGUGUAGCGGUGGAAUGCGUAGAGAUCCGGAAGAACACCGGUGGCGAAGGCGGCUCACUGGCCCGAUACUGACGCUGAGGCACGAAAGCGUGGGGAGCAAACAGG
rnacentral:rRNA from 1 species